CUUCAAGGAGCCACUGGAUGCCCUCAUCAUCCAAACUGAUGAGUCUGCCACACCUGCAAUUGUGCAGAUGACACCCACGCUGCCUGACACACCACGUUUGAUUGUGGCUGGUCAAAUGGCACAGGCAAACCAACGAUGGAUGCUGAGCAUAGAGAAAGAGGUG